rnacentral:rRNA from 1 species
GUCUACAACCAUGCCACCCUGAACGUGACUGAUCCCAUCUGAUCUCGGAAGCUAAGCAGGUUUGGGACUGGUUAGUACUUGGAUGGGAGACCAGCUAGGAAGACCAGGUGCUGUGUGCA